UAAUUCAAAGUUAGUUAAAAUUGAGUUAGUUUGGUUAUUGCAAAAGCUGUUACUUAUUUUACAAGUAAAACAGAAUUAGUUAGUGUGUAGGUUAGUUAGUUGAGUUAACUGCUAUGUGAAUAAGUAACCACAGUUGGUUAAUGCUAACUCAUUGGUUUUGUGUAUAAAAACCAUACUACACCAUUGUAAAGAUACAUCAAUUGAUCAUUAAUGAAUUUACCCCUUUUCUCUCAUUCUUUCUCACAAUUUGUUCAUUCACAUUCAUCCAUUCAUUGUUCAUAAGUUCUAACA
rnacentral:lncRNA from 1 species